rnacentral:lncRNA from 1 species
GUGAUGAGGCCAGGUAGACCAGGUUCAAAGUUAGCAGGUGAUGAGGCUGGGUGAACUAGGUUCAAAGCCAGUGUGUUCCCUUGGGGGAGCUAUUUAACAUCUCGCCCUCUCAUUUCUUUCUUCCUAUGGAAGAUGCAGGAUACUGAGAGUCCCUGGUUUCAGGGUUAACAGCAUAGACUCCAUCAGACUGCCUGAGUUUGAAUUCUGGCCCCACCACUGCUUGCUGUGCGGCUUUGGGCAGGUCACUCGACUCUGCCUCAGCCGGCUCGUCUGUAAGCUGAGAUUGAAUAGUACCCGUCUCACUGGGGUGUUGGAGGAGGAUAAUAAAGGCUUGGAAUAGUGCAAGGCGGACACUAAGUGCUGUGUAAGCUUUUGCAUUAAUGAACCACUGAAAGGGGCGUUACAUGAUAAAAUGGAUGUAAAAUGUGGGCUCAGUCCACUUUAGUUCUUUUGCUUAUUAACCUUGGCAGAGAGUAAACUCUGAUAAUUUGGCCUGAUUUCCCAUUAGAUGUUCCAUUUUCCUGUUAAAACCAUCAUCAGCAAAUCAGGGGAAAUCUUGGUGCUCCUUGCCACCCAGCAAGAGAAGAGCAUUGGGCUUCAGAGUUAGACUAGACUUUUGAAUCCUGGUUCUGGCAUGCACUAGCUGUGGAAUUUGCCCCUGCGUCUUAGCUUUUUUUGGUCUGAGCAAUGGGAAUUAGGAUGCCGGGAGGGUGAGCCAGGUGUGUAUGGCUGUCUCCACUUUAUUGAUGAGCAAACAGGUUCAGAGAUUUGCCCACGGUCACACAAUUAGUAAAGAGCCAGCUAGAGCCUAGAAGCUCUGCAGACUGUGCCCAGGAUUGUUCAGGAGUCCCUCUGUUACUCCAUCAUGCUGCUGCUCUGAAAUAAUGGUCUUUUUUUUCUCACUUUCAAAGUCCAGACAUCUUCCUUAAAGAGUUUUAACCAGGCAGUUCAAAUGACGUCGUCAGUGGAGAAGAAAUUUCUGCUGCUUCUAUAAAUGCAUGGUGUUCUUUUAGACCUUUCUUAAUUGCACCAUUUGGGACUUUUUCUGCAAAAGCAUUUAGUUAUUUAGUUCAUGAAGCUAUAUUUAGUGAAAAUUGCAACUAAUAAAGUUGCGGGGCACCCUUAUUAUAUCUUGAGGCUGUAGCUCUGUUGUUUGAUGACAUUUGUAAAGCGACAAUAAAUAUAACUUACAUGUUUUGUUUCAUUUACUUCUCUUUGCAGGUAUCUUUUGUGGGGUGUGAAAAAUUGAAAUGAGAAAUCUGGUUUUACAGAGGAGUUACUGCUGUUUAAAAACAUGGUGUUUGGCGCCAUGACAAAGCUAUUUGAAGCCCUGAAUGAUGACGGUCCAUUGAGAAUGAUUAAGAAUGUGCUAAAAAUUGUUUUACAGAUGGAUGGUGAAUUAUAGCGAUUGUUCCUAAGUUUAAGCGACACAUUUUGUGGUUGUAGCUUAAAAACUUGUCACGUUGAGAUACUAGGUAGCAUUAGUUACUAGAAUGGGAAAAUAACAUUUUAAUUUGUUAUUUAAGUUGGUUGGAUACAAAGAAAGUUCCCAGUCAUCAUGACUUUCAAUUCUUGAUCUGUUAUUGUCAGUGAUCCAAUUUGGAUGAAACUAUUUGCAAAGGACAGCUUCAGUUGGAAAAAUGGGCCUUUCAAAUGUUGUGGAACGUUUGUGCUAGAAGCAUCCUUUUAGAGGACUGAUGGUCCAGUUCAUUCACUAAUGAUGGGGAGCCUGAGGCUCAGAACAAUGGCUUCCUUAGAACCUAAACGAGGAUGUUGAAUAAUCUCAUGGUAGAGAUAUGGUUAAUAAUAUCUUAACAAUUGCAGUUCUUGCUCACCUUUACUUCUUAAAGAGGCUCAGUUGUGUGUGUUUCACAUCGUCAAUUGUGAUGUGAAAACCAAGGCUCAGAGAGGUUAAGUAAUUUAUCCAAGGUCACACAGCUAGUGAGUCCUGGAUCCUUAGGUUUUCUGGAAUUCUAGAAUAUGAUCUUUAAGAAAAACUCUAGAAACUGUUUUCUAAUUUAAACUAAGACUUCCAGCUUGAUUUUUUGCCAACUUUCUGUCAUUUCCAGUUAUCUGACCAUACAAUAGAAAGCCAACCUCGCUGAGUAUUUUAGGACGAGGGUUUCUUUUUAGAGAAGGUGGGAGAGUUGAGGUAGUUACAGGUAAAUCUAGCCAUCUCUCCCUUCUUAAGAAGAUGUUCAGGAAGAAGCAAGCAUAAAGCCAGUUGAUGUGUAAGUUCAUGGACUCAUGAAACGAAAGGAAGCAAUCACGGACCAUUCAUGAAACACCUGCUCUGUGCCCUUCACUCGGCUGUGUAUAAACCCUGUAUAAACCCCUGAUGUUGAUGAGCCAUAGGUCCUUUUCAGGAUUUAUUGUCCCCUUAGGCAGCAGGGGUUCCUUCACCUGUGGAAGAAGUGGCAGGAGCCUGGGGAGUUUUUUGCUGGUCCAGUGCGGGAAGUCGAUGGGGAAGCCAGUCUUGAAUUCACCUUCUAAUUCCAAGACCAGGGUUCUUUGCCCUGCCCCACAGUUACGUGACCAUAUGUUUCUGUAGGUUUAUAUGCAAUAUAAAUCUCCAAUCGGAUGGCUGGGGAGUGCUUUUUCUGGCUCUGUGGCUUCAGCUGUCUGAAAGGAAUGCCUUUCAUAAACAUGGGGAGGGAAUUGCAUUUUCACUUUGUGAUAAUUCAUGUUGCACUAGCGGGAAAGGUCAUUAGCGUGGGGAAUUCCACUAGUCCCUGGAGCGGUGGGUCCUAAAUGAGUGGGCCUGCCCUCCGACAGUCACAUUUUUUCCCUUUGGGUAUUUAAUACCACAAGUGUGGUUUCUUUAUUUUAUUUUUUUUUUUUGAGAAAUUUCAUGAAUGAAAGUUUAGAACUCAAAAGAAAGGAAAAAUAAAACCUCACCCAUAAACUCAUCAUUCUUAAAUAGCUAUUGUUAGAGUUUAUUUUUUUUAUUGUGGUGAUAUACCCAUACAUACAAUUUACCAUUUUAACCACUUUUAAGUGUCUGGUUCAGUGGCGUUAAGUACACUCACGUUAUGCAUGUUCACAUUUUCGUACCACCAUCCUUUUCCGAAACUUUUUCAUCUUCCCAAACUGAAACUCCACACACAUUAGACAGUCACUCCCCAUUUCUCCCUCCCCAUAGCCCCUGGCAGCCACCAUUCUACUUUCUGUUUCUGUGAGUUUGACGAUUACAGAUACUUCCUAUAGGUGGAGUCAUACAGUACUUGUCCUUUUGUGGCUGGGUAAUUUCACUUAGUGUAAUGUUUUAAGUUUCAUCUAUAUUGGAGAAUGUGUCAGAAUGUGCUUCCUUAUUAGGGCUGAAUAAUAUUCCAUUGUGUGUAUAGACCACGUUUUGUUUACCCAUUCGUCUGAUGAUGGACACUUGGGUUGUUUCCAUAUUUUGGCUAUUGUGAGUAAUGCUGGUAUAAACAUGGGUGUACAAAUACCUAUUUGAGUCUCUGCUUUCCAUUCUUUUGAGUAUACACCCGGAAGUGGAAUUGCUGGAUCAUAUGGUAAUUCUGUGUUUAGUUUUUUUGAGGGACCGCCAUACUGUUUUCCAAGUUGGCUGUACCAAUUUACAUUCCCACCAGCAAUGUACAAGUGUUACAAUUUCUCCACAUCCUCGCCAUUACUUGUUAUUUUCUGUAUUUUGAUACUGGUCAUGCUAAUGGAUAUGAAGUGAUAUCUCACUGUAAGUUUUGAUUUGCAUUUCCCUAGUGAUUAGAGAUGUUGAGCAUCUUUUCACGUGUUUAUUGUUAGUAUUUUACAAUACUGUCGUUAUUAUUUAACAAUAAUACUGUUAAUAUUUAUCUUCCCUGUGUUUACCUUGGCAUGUUUUUUUUCCUCUUUCCUGAAUGUAGGCAUGGCCUACACUAAACUAUGUUCAGUAUAUUCCAUAUCGUCCACCAUCAACAGGUUUAGUGUCGCAGCAAAGUGUGAACGUCUAUCUCACACUUACCCAAUUGGUGAUGUAUUUGGUGAUAAUUCUGACCAGGCCAAGUUCUUCUCCUUAGGAAACCCAAGCUCAUUGGGAUUUUAGCAGCCAUCUGUCGGUAAUACCACGGGGCCAUGCACGUUGUGAAGACUUCUGGAUUUCAAGUAAGAGGCCCUGGGUUUUAUUACAGAGUGAAAGGAGGCUUAGGACCAGUUAAGACUCUUCUUUAAAUGCUGAUGCCCAGAGGGUCAGGAACAGCCUGUCUGUGACGUGUAUGUCCCAGGGACUUGGACCCUUCAAUGAAUGGGUUAAUUGCAUAGCUUCGAUUUCAAAGUGGAAAGCGGGAUUUGUGGGGUUGAGCACACCCUUCUUCUCCACGACGGUGUUCUAAACUUCCUUUUGUCUUUUAUUUGAAAUCUGGAGAACGUUUUUCAUAGAAACAAUGUUACCGGGGUGACCGUUUCCCAGGAUACCUCUAAAGGCCAGGGAACCCACACGUUCCAUUCACUGGAGCCAGCCCGGCACGUCGGCAAGAUCAGACUGACGGAGUUUGCACCUGGCUGAGCCCCGCCCCUCUGAGUCCAUUUCCUCGUCCAUACCACAGGGAUAAUACUGCCUGGUGUGCAUUGUUGUUGAGAAAAAGAAAAGCAGUGAUUAAUGACUGUAUCGUAUCCUAAGCCACAAAUUUGGUGACUUAAAACAAUGCUAGUUUAUUCUCUCCCAGUUCAGCAGCCAGAAGUCCCAAAUCACUAUCACUGGUUCCACAUCAAGCUGUGGGCAGGGCCACACUCCCUACGAGGCUCCAGGGAGCAUCUAUACCUUUCCUCUUCCAGCUUCGGGUGACUGCUGGCAUUCCUUGGCUUGUGGCUGCGUCACUCCCAUCUUUGCUCUGUGAUCACGUUCCUUUCUCCUUUUCUCCGUGCGUCUUCUCCUCUUAUAUCUGUGAAAUCCCCCUCUGCUUCCAUUUUAUUAGGAUACAUGCGAUUGCGUUUUGGUUAAGAUCCUUUUACCAUAAAAGGUAGUAUUAACAGAUUCUGGGGUUUGGGCUCGGGGAAUAUCUUUGGGGGAUAUAUUUUAGCCUUCUACUAUGAGGAAUAAUAGUAAUAGUAUUCUCCACCAAUGUUUUUAUGUGAUGGGAUUGUCUUAAAGUUCUUUACACAGAUCCCCUGAGAUCACGGGUGGAGCAGGGAACAGUUAUGGUCUUAACGGCCACAUGGUGAGUGUUUAAGCCCCUGGCACAAGACAGAAGCCCAGUGCAUACUAACUUAGUAUAUUUAUUUUCUUUUCCUUUUUUUUUUUUUUUGAGAGGAAGAUUGACCCUGAGCUAACAUCUGUUGCCAGACUCCCUCUUUUUGCUUGAGGGAGAUUGUCCCUGAGCUGACAUCUGUACCAGUCUUCCUCUAUUUUGUGUAUGGGACUCCCCCAUAGCAUGGCUUGAUGAGCAGUGUGUGGGUCUGUGCCUAGGACUGAAGCUGUGAACCCUGGGCCACGGAAGUGGAGCGCAUGAACUUAACCACUGCACUGGUGGGCUGGCCCCUAACUUAGUAUAUUUCUAAGAAUUUUCUGCUACACCACCUUGACUCUUGUUCGUUUUUUUUGACUAACAUCUGCUGCCAAUCCUCCUCUUUUUGCUGAGGAAGACUGGCCCUGAGCUAACAUCCGUGCCCAUCUUCCUCUACUUUAUACAUGGGACGCCUACCACAGCAUGGCUUGACAAGUGGUGCCAUGUCUGCACCCGGUAUCCAAACCAGUGAACCCCCGGCCGCCAAAGCAGAAUGUGCGAACUUAACCGCUGUGCCACCGGGCCAGCCGCUCUUAUUGGGUUUUAUUCUAAGUUCCUUUUGUGCAUCUUUUCUUCUUCUCUUUUUUAUCUCGAUGGACCUAGUUGUGUGGGUACCAACAGUGUUUGUUUUGAGGGUUGGGACUUGGGAUCACUAGCUCGGAAGAGGCAGGAGGAUGCCAUACCGAAUCUUGCGGGUUCAUCACACUUGGGGAAAACCCUUCCUUUAGGAGCCCAUGGGGGUGUUUCAAGUCUACUGUCCCUGUGGAGCCUGUGGAGACCUCUUCCGAGACACAAACUGGUGUCAUUCCUAACUUUUCCUGAGUGUGUUUUUACCUGCCCAAGGAAUCUUGCCCCGGACAAUGGCCAUGACCAGGAGCCUUGCUCGUUUUUGAAAUCCCUUGCUCCAUGGAAAUUCUGACCGAUUCCAGUUUCCUUCUGCAGGAUUCCUGAGUGUUGCUGUCAUUGCGUGCCUGAACAUGGUGGUGGAGGUUUGGGAGCCUGUAAAGUUGCUGAUUUCACACUGCCCUUGCUGGUUCUAGAAGAGGCUUGUUAGGUUAAUUCAAUGAGCAUGGGUUUGUUGGGUGCCUGGCUUGUGCUAGGCGCUGAAGGACUUGCAAAGAUGGAGCUCCUAAGCUCAGUCGGUUGAGGUAGAAUCAAGUAUUGAUGCCAGUGGGUGCCAAGCUUCAGCGGGCAUCAGAAGCACCUGCAGGGCUUGCUAAAGCCCAGGUUGCUGGCCCAGAGCUUCUGAAGCAGCAGGUCAAAGGUGGAGUGCCAGAAUUUUAAUUCUGAUGCUACUGGUCCGGGGCCCACACUUUGAGAAGCGCUGUGCAAUGAGGUCAUGGAGGACAGAGUAAUUAACAACCCAGAAGGCUUUGCAGAGGUGGGAGUUUUCCAGGUGGUCUUAGAAGGAUGGGUUGGAUUUUUUUUUAGAUGGACAAAAGAAGAUGGGGCAUUUUAGGCAAACGAGGUAUGUGUGGUUGGGUAGGGAAUGGAAUGGUGGGUCAUGAUUUUGGAGGGGGGCUGGAUAUCAAAGAAAGGGGGAAGGUAGAGAACAAGGUGUAGGAAGAUUUUUUCUUUGAGGGCACAGGAAGCUUGGGCUGCUGUGAAAGUGUAGUCGCUACAGAAAGCUAAGCGUGCCCCUUGUCAAAGAGUUGCCAAACCAGGCCAGACCCUUCUGCCUGCUUCUGUGUCAGAAGCUCAAAGUGGGUUUGGAAGCUGCAUGUACAUGUGUGAUAGAAAUAACGAGAGUUGGAAGCAAGAAAUCAUGUGACUCUAUCUUGCUUUCCGUCUCUCCCCAUUUCUAACCCAGGCUUUCCACUGGAACAAAGUCAGCUUUGUCCUGUGGUCCCACCCAGCUGCAGGCUCCAGGAGGCCUGUUUCUUUUGCAGUGAGAGGGACCACACCCAGCCCUGCCGGUGCGCGCGGGCUCUGCAGUUCAAAUCUUGGAGGACUGGAGGAUUGUGGUUGUGUCAAAAUUGAAAUCAAAAUGAGUUUUUGACUUUCUACCUUGUAACUUCACAUUUUUGGCAGCCGCAUUCCUGACCCUGAGCCGUUGGUGGCUCACCUUUAGAACCCUAGAAGCAAGAACCUAGAAUUUACAACUUCUCUCGUUCAACCAGUUUGGUUGGAUAAUUGCCUUUUCAGUUGAAAACAGUUUUUACUUUCUUUAGUCCUGGGUUUGCAUUACGUUUUGGGGCGAACGUCUUUGAUGCUACAGUCGUGCCUCUGCUCGAGGUCCACCUUCCACGGGCCCUCUCAGACUGAUGUGAGGCCAGCUGUUCUCCAGGGGCCACCAAGAAACUAACACCGUGAGCUGCAGAUUACUCCAUGGGCAAAAAACUGAAAUAAACUUGGGAACCAAGAUGGCGCAGGUCAACAACUUCUAAACAAUGUCCUGUUGAUGGCUCUGUUCGAGGUGUUAAUGUUAUCAGAAGCCUGACCUCCACAUGUUUCACUUGGCAUCUUUGAUUAUCAGUAAAGCAGGGCACAUCUCCCCCGCUGCCUCCGUAUCAUUCAUUCAGCCGCCAGACUUGUUUUUCCAACAUGUAAGUCUGAUCAUUGUCACUCCCCUUUGACAGGAGUUACUGUAUACAGAUUGUAGUCCCCUCUUUGUGACAUGGUAUUUAAGACCUUCCACAGUCUGAUUCCAGGUUAUUUCCAGUGCUACCUCCAUCACACGUUACCUUUCAGCUGUAGGGCAGACGGCUUGAUGUUGCUGCGACGUGCUGUAUAUUUUAACACCUUGGGGUGUUUGCUGCUACUGUUUCCCUGGGAAAUCUUUCUCCCUAUGUCGUCCCCUCCCAAAUCAUGCAUGUUGGCACAUCCUCCCAGCCUUUACAAGUGGAAUUGCUUCGUCUCUUGUCUAGAUUCCUAGAGCUUUCUCACAAAGGGGCUUGCCGGUGUGUCUGGGAAGGAGAUGGUCACUGUUACCAGGAAGGUACCACUCCUGGGUUUAGCAUGGCCAGUCCGCCAUAUAAUUGUGCAGGUAGAGGAGAGGGGACAGAGUAAAGAAUUAUAGAAGGGCAUUUGGGGAAAUGAUCUAGGCUUUAACCAUUGAGAAGUUAGGAGCAAAAGAAUACCCUCUGUCCAUCUCCUUCCGUUUCUGGCUGUAUUUCCCUUUGCCUGGAACAACAUAGAAAGUACAAUGUGUUUGUAAAAUGUGCAGAGCUUUUCACAAAGAGUGUGUACUAAAAAAAGGGAAUCUUGGAUUUUUGAUAUUUUCACCCCUUGUUUAUUAAGGUUUCUAGAUUUCACAAAGGAGUGAUCAAGCAAAUAGUCGUCAGGGUCCAUGUAACUCUGCACAUCAUGUUAUGUUGCAUUCUAGUGAUGUUAGCUGCGUGUGUGGUUAUUGGAAAGGAUUUUAUUUAUUUAAAAUAGUAAACUAAACAAACAUGUCUCUCACCAAUCCUGGGCACCUGCUAAGUGCCAGGCACUGUGCUUGAGGCUUUGGGAUGCAUUGAUGAAUAAGAUAUAGUCCUCACCUUCCAGGGUCUCAUAGUGAUGCUCAGCUGUUCUCACAGUGUGGUCCCCAGACCAGCAGCAUCAGCAUCGUCUGGGAACUUGUUAGAAAUGCACGUUGUCAGGCCCCACCCUAGACCUACUGAAUCAGAGCUGUGGGGGUGGAGCCCAGCAGGAUGAGUUUUAACAAGGCCUCCAAGUGGAGAGAGAGAAUCAUUUGAUACAGUCUAGUCAGAGUGGCUGAACGACAGUGUUGAGUGUACUGAGGAGUAAUUGGGAAGAUGAAGUUGAUGGCAGUGGGGAGUCGGGUAGGUCUUCAGACGAAUGAAGUUCAAGUUUUAAUUGGUGAGUGGGUGUCCUUCAGAUGAAUAAGGGCAAGAAGGAGAGUAUUUCAGGCCGAGAGAACUACAUAUGAAAGUGCAGAGCAAUCAGAGGGCUUGGUCACCUCUGGGGAUCACAAUUUUUAUUAUUGUCAUUAUGUUGUUAUUAUUACUAUUAUUCUUAUGUCAGGGUCAUAAGAUGAGCUAAGCUGGCAAUAUCAGUGGCCAGAUGAUGCCGAGAAGUUUGGCUUUUCUCCUGGAAAAUAACUGAAUGGUUUUUUAGCAAUAAAGUGAAAUAAUAUCAGAUUUACAAUUCUGUUGAAUAUGCCCAAAAAAUAAGGUCUAUUUUUUUUUUUUGAAAGAUUGGCACCUGAGCUAACAACUGUUGCCAAUCUUUUUUCCUUCUUUCUUCUUAUCCCCAAACUCCCCCCAGUACAUAGUUGUAUAUCCUAGUUGUGAGUGCCUGUGGCUGUGCUAUGUGGGACGCCACUUCAGCAUGGCUUGAUGAGCGAUGCUAGGUCCACGCCCAGGAUCUGAACCGGUGAAAUCCUGGGCCACUGAAAUGGAGUGUGCGAACUUAACCACUAGGCCACUGGGGCCCACCCCUGUAGUUUUGUUUUUCACUUUUAUUGUUUUAUAGCUUUACAUUUUAUAUUUAAGUCUGUGAUCCAUUUUGAGUUAAUUUUUGUGAAGGGUGUAAGGUCUGAGUCUGUCGUCUUUCUUGUUGCACAUGAAUGUCCAGUUGUUUCGGCACCAUUUGUUGGAAAGAUUGUAUUUUCUCCAUUGUGUUGCCAUGGCUCCUUUGUCAAAGAUCAGUUCACUAUAUUUAUGCAGAUCUGUUUCUGGGCUUUCUGUCCUAUCCCAUUAAUCUAUUUGUCUAUUCUUUUGCCACACUCUCUUCAUCACUGCAGUCUUAUAGCAAAUCUUGAAGUUGGGUGGUAUCAGUCCUCCACCUUUUUCUUCUCCUUCAAUAUUAUUUUGUGUACUUUGGAUCUUUUGCUUCUUGGCAUAAUCUUAAAGAAUUUUAAUUCUAAAAAAAUUCAUAAAAUAUAUAGAAAAUUGUAAAAUUAGAAAAUAGUAGAAGAAAGAAACAAGAGCUAAUUCCUAGUUCAACCUAGAUUGAACUAUUAUUUACCUUUCAGUUGUGCUUUGAUGCAGUCUUUUUCUCUUUGUCUCGUUUUUGUUUGUUAUAUAGUGUGCAUAAUAAAUAAAUUUAAAUUCUAGCUUAAUAUUUUCUCCCAUUCAAUGGGAAAAAUGGUUGUGUUGCAAAUGUCCCUAAAUACUUUGUAAACAUCUGUUUUAACAAGUGUUUAAUGUUCCAUGGUAUGCUGUACUGGGGUUUUACUUAACUGUCAUUUGCAUGCAUGGUUAAACAUCAGCUAGGGUUUGGUGAGUGUAUUAGUCAGGGUUCUCCAGAGAAGGAGAACCGAUAGGAUAUAUAUAUCCAUAUACAUCCAUAAACACACGAUUAUAGAGCCCAAGAAGACCCAUUAUCUGCCUCUUAUCUGCAAGCUGGAGAACCAGAAAAGCUGGUGUUGUAAUUCAGUCUGAGUCCGAACGCCUGAGAACCAGCAGCAGCUAUGUCUGAGGGCAGGAGAAGUUGGAUGUCCCAGCUCAAACAGAGAGAGAGGAUUUGCUCUUCCUCUGUCUUUUUGUUCUAUUCAGGCCCUCAGUGGAUUGGAUGAUGCCCACCGCAUUGGUGAGGAUGAUCUUCCUUGCUCAGUCUACCCAUGCAAACGCUAAUCCAUUUCAGAGACACCCUCACAGACACACUCAGAAAUAAAGUUUUACCAGCUGUCUAGGCAUUGCUUAGCCCAGUCAUGUUGACGUGUAAAAUUAACCAUCACAGUGAGGGAUGUGGAAGAGGAAUUAAUCAUGGGAAUGUGACCCUGUGCACUUAGGGGAGCCGGAAGAACUCUGUGGAAGGCUGUUGUCUCUGCCUCUGACUGGACAUGCAGUCAGGAAGAAAACCUUCAGGUGAGCUGAGGGAGCCAGGAUACAACGAAGCCCACGUCUGUCUCUCACCACCUCCCAGCUCAUGGCUUUGGGUGAUUUGCAGAAGACCCCAUGCCCAUGCCCUUGCCCUUGGAGCUGCACAGGUGCCUAGCUCAGGAGCUGAAGGGGCUAUGGCCCCGCUGCUGCCCCAUACAGAGCUCACCAACCUGACUCCACCGACUGCUCCACUUGUGCUUUCAAAUCCUGGACAAACUCCUUUCAUGGCCGACCAUGAUCCAAUAUGGUCCAGGAGAGGGAAUUCUGGGAAAUGUAGUUCCCACUUAGCUACAAUGACAGGGUCCAAAACCCCUAGUGCUCAUCUCUAAUUUUUAUUCUAUUGUUAGGAAAUACUGCAGUGGAUAUCUCUAUUUCCAUAGAGUGCUUUUCCUAAAUUUUGAAUAAUUUCCUUAGGAUGGAUCCUCCGAAGAGGAAUUAUUGCGUCAGAGUCUAAACACUUUUUAAAGUCUUUAUGUGUUGCCAAUUUACUUUACACAAAAAAGGUCAUAUCAGCGAUACCACCAGGGUACAGUAUGAAUAGUCUUAUCUUCCUGCCCCUGGCUAGCACUGAGUGCUGUAUUCUCUCCUUUAACAUAUUGAGCUUUCCAUUUGAAUUGUUUAUUCCCAUCCUUUAAGGCAAAGGUUUUUUUUUUUUUUUUUUUUUAAUUAUAUUGACUUUGCAACAAGUAACGACCAGUGGAAGGGCUAUGCUUUGAACCUUGAGAGAAUCACUUAAUGGAUGUUAUGAGUAAGAGGUAAAACCACUUUCUCCUAUUUCAGGGACUUGCUAAUCGUAAUAGCAAUAAAACCAGAGGUCUAAUUAGAUGACAGCUGCAGGAAGGGGUAUUAGCAACUGCUGAGAAGGUUACACCCUCAUUUGGUGCAAAGUUGCAAAAAGUUCUCUGUAGCCACACUCAGUUUCUAUAGAGUAUUUUGGGGUAGUUUUUGAUUGCAAGGAAGUGAUGAUUUGCUUUCUCUUUUUAAGCGGUUGUUUUUCUCUCUACAAGAGUACUUUUAAUUUUACUUGGUCACCUCUAAUCCUAAAAACAUACUCUGUCAUUUUCGUUUCUCUUGGGGCUCGUCUUUUGCUCUGUAAUGUGUUUACUGUUGAUUGCAGGCUGCAGCCACAACAAACCUCCUUUUCUUACUGUUCAGAUGACUUUUCUUCCUAGUUAAUUUUCAAUAGGAACUGGCGUGAAAACCAAAACUUCAUGAAAACCAAGUUAAAGUUAAAAAAAAACAUGUCAUGUAUGACUUUAUGUAGAACAGAAUGUUUGGGCUCACUCUGUGUUUUGGUUUUUGCCAGUAUGGUUUCCCAAGGGACUUGAAUGAGUUUAUCAAUCAGAUAUUAGACCAAAUUCCACCAACUUCUGAGUUUUAAGUCGUAUUUAAUAUUCCCUUUAAAGAAUGGACCACAGUUGGUUUCUUCUGCCUCCUCCAUCCCCGGAUCAAGCAGCCAACCUACUGACCCAGUUUUAAUGUAAAUCAAACUUACACUUUCAUAAACCAUCAAAUUUGAAUAUGUGUUUUCUGACUCAGACUAAAAUGAGCUGAAAUAUACUGGUUUGUGGUUGUGUGCUUAGUUCUACUGGAAAUGGAAUGAGCCCAUGGAGCCCCAAGCCCGUAAAGAUAGCUUCUCAUUUAGGAGAGAAAUAUGGUGCACAGUUUCAUCUCUACUCUGCCUACUCCAAGGGUCAAAGAGUGGUCCCUGGGACCAGCAGCAUGCCAGCAUCAUCUGGGAGCUUGGUAGAACUGCAGAGUCUCAGGCCUCUGCUCGGUGAACCAGAAUCUGUGUUUUUGCAAGAUCCCUGGUUGAUUUCUAUGCUCAGAUGAGUCUGAGAAGUUCUGUCCUGGAUGAAGCUGUCUGACCUGUUCCGCACCCAUCACCCGCUAUCUUUCACAGCCGCCCGCUUACUUCCUGGUGGGGCUUUGUUCUGGGAAGACUCAGGCCUGCGCAGUGGCCUCCAUUUUAUUGAUCUGUGUACUGAUUGGUCUUGCUGAUGUUUUUGAAAAUUCCUGAAAUUCCUUGGAAGCAGUGACUUCAGUCCCUCUGAUUUCUCCAUUAGGGAAAUAUGACCAAGUGGAGGCUCUUCUCCUGUUUAUCUGGGCAUUCUUCCGGGUCUGGGAGGGCCGCUCUGGAGGGUGUGGCUGGGACAGGAGUUAGGAGAUUUGAGAUUGGAUCUUUUUUUUUAAAAUUUAUUUUUAAUUGUAGUAAAAUAUACAGAAUAUUAAAUUCACCAUCUUAUUUUUUAUUUAUUUUGGUGAGGAAGCUUGGCCCUGAGCUAACAUCUGUGCCAACUUUCCUCUAUUUUGUAUGUGGGAUGCUGCCACAGCAUGGCUUCAUGAGCGCUGUGUAGGUCCAUGCCCAGGAUCUGGACCUGUGAACCCUGGGCUGCUAAAGCGGAGUGCAUACUUAACCAUUACACCACUGGGCAGGUCUCUAAAAUUCACCAUCUUAACCAUUUCUAAGUGCACAUUUUGGUAGUGUUAUGUACAUUUACAUUGUUGUGCAACCAAUCUGCAGAACUCCUUGUAUCUUUCAAAACUGAAACUCUGUACCCGUUAAACCCUAACUCCCCAUUCCUCCCUCCCCCGGCCCCUGGAACGCAGUUCUACUUCCCAUCUCUAUAGAUUUCACUACUACUCUAGGUCCCUCAAAUAAGUGCAAUCCUAUAGUGUGUGUCCUUUUGUGUCUGGCUUCUUUCACUUAUUGUAAUGGCCAUUGUAUGGAUAUACCACAUUUUGUUUAUCCAUUUAAUCUGUUGGUGGACACUUGGGUUGCUUCCAUGUUUUGGUUUUUGUGAAUAAUGCUGCGAUAGUUGAGCUACCAUAAAUUGCCUGAGAUCUUAGACAAAUCACUGAACUUCUGUAUCUCAGUAUCCAAUCAAUACUUUAAAAAUAAGAAAUCUCAGAAUGUCUCAUGCAUUCUGUUUUUUUUUUCUUGAGGAAGAUUAACUCUGAGCUAACAUCCACCACCAAUCCUCUUCUAUUUUUGCUGAGGAAGACUGGCUCUGAGCUAACAUCUGUGCCUGUCUUCCUCUACUUUGUAUGUGGGAUGCCUACCACAACAUGGCUUGACAAAUGGUGCAUAGGUCCGCUCCCAGGAUCCAAACCAGCGAACCCCGGGCCACUAAAGCAGAACGUGUGAACUUAACUGCUGUGCCACCAGCCGGGCCCUCAUGCAUUCUUUUAAGCUCUACUUAUAUUAUGCUGAAUGAAAUCAAACCUGUGUUUGUGAAAAAAGAAAAAAAGAAAAUCAAGUGUCUUCUAAAAGAUUUCCAUGAUUUCUCCUACUGAUACUAUUUACCCUUCUUGAGCAGACUUAACUUUCAAAUAUUCAUAACAGCAGAACUUCUACAAUUUUUAAAAGCAGUUUUAUUGAGAUAUAAUGCACACACCAUACAAUUCACCCAUGUAAAGUACAUCCACUGGUUUCCAGGAUAUUCUCAAGGUUACACAACUGUCACCACAAUCUAUUUCAGAACAUUUCAUCACCAUGAAAAGAAACCUUGUGCCCCUCAGCAGUCACUUCCUGUUUCCUUCCAAACCUCUCCCUCAACCCUAGAGAAUCACUAAUCUACUUUCUGUCUCUAUAGAUUUGCCUAUUCUGGAUGUUUCAUAUAAAUGGGAUCAUAAAAUACGUGGUCUUUUAUGACUGGCUUCUUUCCCUCAGCAUAAUGUUUUCAAGGUUCGUGUAUAACUUUCUAGGGGGUCAACUGAUUUCACAUGCGAGGGAUCCGUUUAUCAUCAUCUGACCAUUCAUAAUGCCAUCAGCCAGAUGCAGGGGCCUAGAGUUAUAGCAGUUGUGACCCCCAGCUGCAAAGAGCCCUCAGUCUUGUGGGGAAGAUGGACAUGAAGUGAAUUAUUACACAGAUAUUAAUCACCAAGUGCUAAUUUCUGUAAUGGAGGAAGCUCGGAUACUCUGAAAGUGUGUAACAGGUGGAAGGCGAGGGGAGGCUGCUCUGACUUAAUGCUCACGCCUUCAAGAUGGUGCCGUCCACAGAUCUCAUUGGGACGUCCCUUCAAUCAGUGUUCAUUAAGUGACUCUGUUAGGCGAUGAUGACGUGGUCAAGAGUGAGACUUGGUCUGUGUCCUUGAGGAGCUCGCCUUGUCACAGGGCAGACAGCCAUCUAUGCUGGGUGCUGGUCCAGAGUGAUCCUGGAGCAUUCAAGGGAAUCUUUAGGGAGCAAUGAGGAUGCUUGGCUGGGAUUUUGAAAGGUGAGUAAAAUUUCUUUAGGAAGCCACUAUAUGCAUGGAGGGAAAGGGACUUCUGAGUAGAGGUCAGAGCAGAAGUGUAAAGGUACUCAGUGCGUUCACUGGGGAUGGGCCGUCAAGGAACCUCUUGUGGCCCCAGCGUGGGGAAUAGCUACAGAAAGGAGGCUGGAAGGGCAGAUUGCUUCCAGUGUGUGAAGUAUCUUAAAGCAAAGGUUAUAAGCUUUGUCCUAGAGAGCUCAGAUUUUCAACCUUUAAUUCUGAGUACCCUCACCCCCAUUUGAGGGGGUCAGUGCAUUCCCCUUCUAACCGUGACUCACCAUGAGUGGGAGUGAAGGUGACGUAUCCUCUAGAAUCCCUUCUGGAGGGUGCCAGAAUCUUCUGGAGGGAGCUGUCCUCUGGAGUGUCAAUGCUGAAGCCAUCGGAGGUUUUUUAAGCAGUUAAGGAGCAGCCAGUUCUUUUAGAUCUGCUGAGAAUAGAAACACAAGAAGUUGGGAGACAGGCAGAAAGAAGUUGAAUGGUGCUAGCAGCACCAUGGUAUAAAGUUUUUCUGGGCCCAGACUUAUGGGUGGAAAGGGAUGCUAUGAACUGCCAUUUAUGGGUAUUCACUGUCAUGCUGUAUAGCUGGGUAAAUAGAUGUGAGACUGUGGACCAAGCCCAUCGUGGUUUCAGGGCCUGUUUCAUCACGUAUCACCCACCUGGGUAUCUAGGAUUCUGCAAGAUGCUCAAAAAUGUUGUGUUGUGCAAGAUCCAGCCAUGACCAUUGCAAUGCAAUCUGACCAUCGUGUUGUGUUUGAUGCAUUAUUACUCACGACAAUUUGUAGAUUCAUUCAUUUAUUCAUCCAACACUACAUUUGUUGCAUGGCCCUAGCUCUAGGCUGUGUGCAUUCAAAGAUAGAUGCAUUCCCACCCUCGAGUUGUUCACAGUGUGAUCAGAGAAGUGGUACAGAGUUGCAGGCUUAGAGUUCAAAUGUCGGCAGGCCUUGCCAGCAUCUGGGUUCGAUGAAGUCGGACUGACAUUGAUAAUUAAAGUUCCCAUCCUUGCUCCUAUCUGGGUCUGUGGAACUCUUGUUCACUUGCAAUACCUCCCUCGGAAUUUCUAUGGAUUCCCAAAGGAUGGCAUCAAAUGUAUGUGAUCGUGGUUGGUCACAGCCACCAGAAGCAUCUGCCUUGUUCUUCCUCUCUUGGCAUGCCUUCUUUUGUCAGCCCCAUGCUCUAGGAGCAGCUUGAAGGACUGUCUUGUCCGAGUCUUUAUGAAGAGAUUUUCCAGGUCCAUGCCAAAGGGCGUGUUGCAUGCAGAAGUGCUGGGGAAUGGCUCUCUGACACCUGAGACUUUGUCAUCUGGAAACUUAAGUAGCAGUGUUGGAUCCUUGAGACUGGCCAAGCCUCAUGACACAGCUCUUUCAAAGUCUGCUCUAAAUAAUCCUCGCCAUGAUGGAGCACCAAGUUACUCUAUCAUGGUACCCUCUUUAUUGUCGUACGUGUCGGAACUUGAAAUUAUCUUGUUUGUUUAGUAAUAAUGGCCUCUUAUUGCACUCUUACAUGUCUUGACUCACUGAAUCCUGGCAACAGCCUCAUGGAAGGUUGAGCAGCUUAGCUUGUUCUGGGAUUUGAGGCCAGGCAGUCUGGCUCCAGAGUCCAGGUCCUAGCCCCUACGUAUGUGUUUAUUGUGUUUUUACCUAGAAGAAUAUCAAUUCUGUGGAGCUUGUUUCUCUUAGUAGCAAAAAGAGAUGGUGAACGAAUGAGCAAGUGAUCAAUAAGUAGUCAGGGAGAUUUCCUUGAGUCAGUAAGGCCUGGGCUAAUGAGUACAGGAGUAACCAGCAAAGCUGGGGCGUGGGUGGAGGUGCGGGACAUUCCUGGCAGCAGUCAUGGAUGGUGAAAGCUCAGGCACGAAGGAGUCAUGUGCUUUGGGGUUGCUGGAGAGGGAUGUGAGAGAGACCAAACUGAAGAGGUCGGUAAAUGGGCAUCUCCAAGGAGGACGUUUCUAUUACCUGUAUGUGUUGAAUUCCCAACAGAGUCCUUCUAAGUGUGACCAGGAAGCCAGCUUUGUCAGAACAUGGGGGUACUUGUUAAAAAUACACCAUCAUCUAUUGCAUCAAGGUCUGGGAUGGGGGGCUUGGGAAUCUGCAUUCUAAUGCUCUUGCCCGGUAAUGCUUGUGCACACUGAUGCUUGGGAACCACUGCUCUGAGAAAGAAGAUAACUAAUAAUAACAUCUUAAAAUUAUUUUCGUCUUGCAGCUUUUCUUUAUAGCUAUCUCCCACCCUCUACACCCAGUCUGAGAUGGAGCUGUAAAGGAAUGUGUGUCCUUCGCAUAGUUUCCUCCUGAUAAUCCUGUCUUAGCUUGAGCUGCUAUAACAAAAAUAUCAGACCGGAUGGGCGUAAACAACGCAUAUUUAUUUCUCACAGUUCUGGAGACUGGAAGUCCAAGAUUAAGGCCUUGGCAGGUUUGGUGUCUGGUGAGAGUCCUCUUCCUAAUUUGUAGAGGGACGUCUUCUGCUGUGUCCUCAAGUGGCAGAGAGAGAGAUCGACUCUUCUUACAAGGGCAGUAAUCCCAUUCAUGAGGACUCAUGACCUAACCACCUCCCGAAGGGCCCACCUCCAAAUACCAUCACACUGGGGCUUAGGGCUUUGACUUAUGAAUUUUGGAGAGGAUGCAAACACUCAGUCCAUGGCAAUCCUUCUUUGUGUGUUUAUCUUGUCUUGGCUUUGGGACUUCUGCUUGUAGAUUGUAUUAAUUUUCUAGAGCUGCUGUAACAAAUCGCCACCAACUUGGUGGCUUAAAACAACAAAAAUUCAUUCUCUCACAUUUCUGCAGGCCAGAAGUCCAAAAUCUAAGUGUUGGCAGGGCCACGAAGAUGCUAGGGAAAUGUCCUUCCUUACCUCUUCUUAGCUUCUGGUAGCUCCUGGCAAUCCCUAGUGUUCCUUGGCUUGUAGCUGCAACAACCAAUCUCUGCCUCUGUCGUCACGUGACCUUCUUCUCUCUGUGUUCUCUCCUCUUCUGAUAAUGUCGCCAAUCAUUGGAUUUACGGCUCAUCUUAAUCCAGUGUGACUUCAUCUUAACUUAAUUGUGUCUGCAAAGAUCCUACUUCCAAAGAAGUUCGCCUUCUCAAGUUAGGUGACGUAACCGGGUGGCCCUGAAGUUUCAGGGACACUAUUUGAUCCUGUACAUAGAAUUUUCAGUUCUGAAGGCAGUUCCAUUUUGUCGAACAAAGAUUUAAGCAGUAUACACUUGGUCAAAGGCACCUCCCACAAUAACAAUAAUAACCAAACAAGACAGGUGGUCAUUUCAGCUCAAAUUACUGCUUCAUUUUGGACAAUCUUGCAUGCUUUACUGAGAACCUGUAUUGAAUUCAGUUAUCUUCGGAGUCUUUAGGGUGGAUGAUUGACUUGUGUACAGGAUGCUGGAAGAUUGUUUCAAAAUAUCCCUUUAGUAAGCCUUCCUGAAUAGCCAGCUGGUUCACCAUACUCUGUUCCUGGAGGUUUUGGGAGGCUGUGUUCACUGGUAUCCAGGGGCGGUGGGGGGGGAGGUCAGGAAAGUGGGAGGCCCUGGCCCGUGGGUCCUGUCCACAGGUACAGUGGCUGAUGUGGCCAUCCUGGGCCAUGCAUGUUGGCCCUGUGGAAUUUUCUUCCUUUCAAAGCCUGUUUCUGUACCAUGACAUAUUCUUAGAUGACAAAGCCAGGAGUAUGCCUCUAAUCCAGUACUAAUCCAUUUGCCAGUUUCUCAGGUAGCUCAGGUUCUCCUGACAGAUAUUUUCCUAAAGUCCCCCUCUUUUAAAUUGUUUCUUAUAAGGAUGUAACAGUUUAUUUAACCAUUUCUUCUGGCUCAAUAUUCAUUUUUCCAGUUUUUAUUUUUCUAGUUGUGGGGCUUAUGAACAUCUUUAAUGUAAAUCUUUGCCUCUUUUAUUAUAUCUUUAGAUUAAAAUUUUUAGAUAUAGAUUUAGUGAGUCAAAGGGUGUGAACUUUUAAAUCCUUCUAAAGCAUUUUAUUGCUGAAUAAAUGUUUUAUUGCAGAAAGAGUGUUUUAAGUGCUGUCAUAUCAGUGUCCGAACAAACUCAUUUUAACAAUUCCCCUGGGAGUACUGAUGAGGUUUAUCUGUUCGUGAAGGGUCAAGAUCUUGGGGAGGGUGGGCAUUUAGUUUGAGGUGGGUCUUCCCUUCUUUAAAUGGCACGUGAAUAUAGAAGAUGUGCCGCCAUCCCGUUUUUAUCGCUAUUGUCUAAUGAUGAUGCAUCUUUGGCUUAUUGGUACCAGGGAAUAUUUGCAUCAUUUUACUUUGCUUUCGAUAAAUAAGUUUCUCAUGCCUUCGUGGAUAGGUUAGGAGAAUUAACAAAAGUGACCCCAAGGAUAACCCCCCGUUAUCGAGUUAUUAUCCCCAACAUUGAGUGCUGUCCUUGGACCAGCUGCCUUGAUGCAUGAUCUCUUUUAAUCUCCAUUUGACAGAGGAGGAAAGAGGAGGUAGAGGGGUUUAUCUACUUGACCAAGGUCUCAGAGGUGGGCGGGGCUGAGCUGCUUCCAGAGUGGGAGCUCCCGCCCAGGAUGCUGGGAUGCUGGCCAGCGCUGCUGUGCCUGGCCGUGUCUGGGGAACACUGCGGGAGGAGUGUAGAAGAGCUGUUUGCUGGCACCUUCAGCCUGUGAUUACCAGAAUAGAGCACUCAGUGGGGGGCCGGGAGGCCUGGGACACAGCUGGGCUUCAAAGCCAGCUGAGUGUGUAACCUUGACCCCCUUCUCUUUCCUUCAGCUGCAGUAACAGAAGGGCCAGUUCUAAGAGGCCUCACCGCUGGCUGUCUCCAGAGGGCCGCUCUUUGAGCCUGAGUUCUCGGCAGAGUCCUGAGCUGUUGCUGUUAGCUGGCCACCUUUCUUCUCUGGUGGUGUGUGUUUUCCUCUGUGUUUCCAGGGAAGCUCGGUUCUCGGUUUCCUUUUCAUUUGGGUGACCUCUCUAACUCCCUGUGUUUAAAGCUGGAUGAAGCCUGUUGCACAACUUUCGGAUAAUAGCUUCUGGAGUGGAGUUGGCCUGAAAAGCUGCAGCGGGCUCGCCUUUCAUCCUGAGUCCCGUGCGCUCCCUCGCCAGGCCUGCUGUGCUUCUGUCUGCAGCCGCUGGAGCGGGAGAGGUGGGCAUCCCUGGGUGUUCUUAAAUCCAUGUUGGUAGCUGGUGCACGAACCCUAACUCGGGACGGCAGCUGUUUAGUCCGUGUUUGGAUGCCACAGAGCCUUCUCUGAACCGGUCCCUCUGCUUUGGUCUUGCCCUCCCACCAUCUGUCUCAAAAUAGUAGCCAGAGGGCCCCUUUUAGGUCAGACAGUGUCACUCUGCUCAAAAUCUUUCUAUGCUUUUCAAACCCCCAGCAUACAAACCAAAGUGGUUUCCGGGGCUGGCAGGAGCUGCCCCCUCCCUUCUGCUGCUCUCGUUCACUCCACUGCACCUGUUGCUCAUACAUACCAGGAAAACUCCCACCGUCAAGCCCUUGUCCUGCCUGUUGUCUCUGCCUGGAGCUCUCCUCCCCUGGUAGCCAUAUGGUGGGCCCCUCCACUCCCUCAUGUGUGGGUUCUAUCGUGUCUCUGUGUCAGUAAGGCUGUCCCGCGUCAUCCUGUUGAAAACCACCAGGAACGUGUCCUCCACGUCCUUGACUCCUAUGGCUAGGAUGUGGCUGCGAGGGUCUGGAGCAUCCACGGGCACUGUGGGCAUGAACUGACCUGCUGGUGUUCUGGAGCACACGCCUCUGGUCUCUGUUUGAUGGCAAGAGCUUUCUUGUGUAUUAUGGCAGAAUCCCCAUUAGAGACCGUGCUUUUUGAAACGUUCCUGUGACUUGUGGUGAUUCAGCUUCAAUGUGGAUUUUUGCUUGGGUCAUAUUAGAUGUUAAUUUGAUUGGCUUUAGAGGCCGCUUCAAGGUGUCCCAAAAGUGUCCCUUGAGUGGCAGUAGCAUCGGCAGAUCCCUGCCGUUCCAUCUCUGAGGCCGCCUUAGGUACUUAAGUCUGGUUGUAGGAUUUACCUGUUUAAUUAGUGAUGGGUUGUGGUAAGAUGUGUACUAAACAAAUCCCUAGGUUUAUCUCGGCAUUAGGGAAAAUAUUUAGGCUUCACAAACCAACAGAAGGGUAGUAUGUUUUGGUUCGGUGGCCUAGAUUUCAGAUAGAAAGAGAACAUCUCUACGAAUCCCUGGGGCAGGUUGAUAGCUAUGAAAGUCUUGACUGUGCUCCAGGCAGCUGUUUUCCGUUGGGUCUGAUCAGGUUCCGUGGUGGAGAGGAGGGUACAUUUGGACUCCCUAGUCUUCCCCAGUGUUUUCAUUAAAUUUCCUCAUUUCCGAGUUCAGCAUGCGUCCAUUGAUUGUUUGCUGUUUGUGCAUCAGUGGAGCUGGGGCUGGGGCUAUUGGGGAUGAUCACUCUCUUAUAAUUUGCUGGAGAAAGUAGACAGGAUGAUCAGUGCUUCAAACAUCAGCCUUAGUCUGUGUCAAAGUGUAAGCAAAGUGGGGUGAAGGCCCUGAGCAGGGGGAUCACUAUUGUCCAGGGAUUAAAGAUCACUUUGUAGGACACACAGCACGUGAGGUGGAUCCUGCAGCGUAAGUAGAGGUUUGGCCAGAAUUAGGGAGUCGGGGGCGAGAAACUCAUGGAGGUGGGGGAGGCAUGCAGGGCUGGGUAGGCAGCGUGAGCGGAAUGGUGGGAACCUGAAGCUGCACGGCUCCAUAGCAGAGGAGGAGUCGUCCUGUGGGGCUGGCAUGUGGGAUUUGUGAGGGGCUGUGUGGGAGGGCAAAAGGGAAAGUUCAGUUGGGUCAUGCUGUGGAGGCCUUUUUAAAGGCAGCACUAAGGAACUUGAAUUUCACUAGCAGAAAAUGAUAAACCACUGCAAGUCUUUCAGUUGAGAAGAAUGAUGUCUAUGAUCUGCCUUUUAGAGAAAUCCCGUGCGUAGCAUCGGGAAGCCGGGUGGUUGGUGGAGUUCUAGACGACAGGGAGGCCUGUUAGGAGCUUGGCUUUCCAUAGAGAUGAGCUUGACCUGGGAAGUGGCCAAGAAACAGUCAUGGGAGAGAAGGGUGGAAGAGACAGUAUGAAGAAGGAUUCUGUUGGGUCAUGGCCACAACCAACCAAGAGAGAGGCCAGUUUUCUCCUAAUCACUCAGGAGCUCGAAAAGACAAAAUUCCCGUCCCUGGCCAGUAAAAUGGAGUCACAGGGCCCUUGAAAGGAAAGCAAUAUGAGGGAAAGGGAGUAGAAGCUGAGAAUGUUAAAACCAGAAGAGACACUGGCAAUCUUAUCAUCUCCUCAUGUGAUGGAGGAGUGGAAGAGACUGAGAAAAGCAACCUGGAAGAAGGCAGCGUGUUGCCUUUUAGUUACGUUGGGGACCUUGGUUUCUAGCAUCAGUAAUUGCUCACCUAUGUCCCUUAUUCCUGGAUUAGAAAUGAGAGGGGAAAAGGAGCACACCCUUCAAGUUUUUUUCACAUGGAUGUACUGGACUUUGAGAGAAUACUUUGAAUAGCUAUGGUUUCUAGAAAGUGAUUUGUUAAGUAACUCAGUGGGUUUGCUUAGAUGGUGAUGUAGUUUUUAUCUCUGGAAGGAACACAUGCUUCAGUGACAGCCGUAUAUAGUAUUCUUAGUGUUGUUAAUAAGAUAAUAAUAUGAUCAUAAAUUCUAGCUGACUUUGUCAAAAAUUCCCAGCCUGGUGCUAAGCACUUAUAAAACUGUCUUAUAUAGAAUGGGAUUCUCUUUCUCUCUUUGGGGGCCCAAGGGUCAAGAAGUCCUUCUAAAAUGGAAGCUCUCCCAUUUGUUUUAUAUUGAAUGCUCGUUUUGGUUUAGUUUUAGUUUCUCUGGGGGAAGGAGACACUCUUUGUUGGAAGAGUCAUACAGAACAUUCCCCAUCUCCCAGGGGUACACAUUUUCUAGGGGCCUCCUGCCUUCAUAGGCCCAUCUGACCACCUGACCAUCUAGGGCUUUCUCAGGGGCCAUUUGCAGUUGGCUAUUUCAAGUUGGUGGUUGCAUUCUCCUCCUCUGGCGGGUGGUGUGUGUUCGCCUGCACAUUCUGGGACUCUCUUAGUUGGGUUGAUAGAUUUGUUUGGACAUGACCUUUCCCAGUUCCUCUUCCCUGGGUUUGUGCCUGCUGAGGAAAUGAUCCUCAGAUCCCAUCCAUCUGCACUGGUGGCAGCAGAAGAGAGAAUUUCUCUUUUCUAUGGUCCAGGUCCAACCGCGCAGACACCUGUCCUUCAGAGGCUCAUAAUGUUCUGGUUGGUAUCACUUCCUGACGCAGAGGCUCUUUUGCAUCCUAGUUCUGGAAGUCAUCAGGUUGGACGUGAGACAAGGAGGAGGCGGUGCAGGGUCCUCAGCUGACCUGGGAUGCUUUUCUUGAUUGUGCGCUGGACACAUAGGAAGAGCAUUUCCCCCACCUCAAUCCGCAGUUGGCCCUGAUAAGUGGCCAAAUCCACGGGCACCUGGGAGCUUUGCUCUGGAGAGAUCCGCUGAUGUGGGGAUGAAGUGCAGAGGUGAGGAGUCAGGUCAUAACUCUUCCAUCAGGGCUUUGCCGCCUGCCCAGUGUCGUGUUUGCAGUCCCCAUGAACUUGGAAAAAUGCUCCCUGAGCACUGCUCCCAUCCACCGGGGUCGUUGUGCAGAUUUCCAGAUGUUGAACUUGUGCAGGUGACGUAACCCCAGCUGGUGUUGCAGGGGGGCUGGCUGAGUCAUGCUCACAACUUUGGGAUUUAGAGGCAGGAACUCCAUGGAGGGAGAUGGUGCCUGGUUAGUCUGUUGGCAUGUUCUUUAAAUCCUGGGCCUUCCCCAAGACUGAGGUCCGGCCUUGGUAUCAGGUAUAAGCACCCAUGUGAUGAGGGGACUGGCCAGCUCUAGACAGUGCCUUUCACCAGCUGUUGUUGAAGAAGCAGAAUGAUUAUCUAUUUUAUAACAUCCCUUUCUCAGGGGCUCAAAGAUUGGGGCAUGGUGUUGGGGAGAAUGGCGUAGUCUCCAAUGAGAUGUGCAAGGAAGAUAUAGGAGAAUGGGUAACGGGAGACCUUCCCACGCAGACACAGCAGUAUCUGAGCAAAGAGUGUUAUGAUAUGGGUUAUCAUCCUGUUUCUGGAAAAGAGCAGGUGAAACGCACAUUCUGGUGCUGCCCAAUCCUGCAUCACCUACAGACUUAUACUUGUACCCAGGAGUUGGCAGACCACAGGCUGCAGGCCCCAUCUGGCCUGUUACCUGUUUUUGUAAAUAAAGUUUAUUGGAGCAUGGCCACACCCAUUCAUUUAUUUCAGUGGCUGCUUUUGCGCUUUACAUGGCAGAGUGGACAGAAUGAAUGGAUCCCACAGCUUGAAAUAGUUACUCUCUGGCUUUUUGUAGAAAGUUUGCAGACCUUUGCUCUUUAUCCACCUCUGUCCAGACAGUGAAAUCUAGGGCAUCUCCUUUAUCGGAAGAUCUCUAGUUUUUAACAUUUGCUGCUUAUUAUUAUUUCAAAUUCAGCUCCUUCUUGUUCUUCUCCUCUUUGCUCCUGGAUUAUUUCAGGAGUCUCAUUUUCAGUGGGUGCUGUUUCCUUCUCGAGGAUAUUUGGAUUUUUGAGAUGGAGGGCUUUGAUGAUCGGGAGCUACCACUGGUAUUGUGGGGGGCUGGCAGAGGUUCUAAAUAUCCCCCAGCCGGCAGGACAGCCCCACAGUAAAUGGCAGAGUGUACUCACUCGGAGAACCACUUACCUGGUUUUUGUUUUUUGUCCAUAAUUUAAAGUUUUUCAGGAAAUUUUUGUAACAUCUCCUAGCAAUGAGGUAGUCCUUAAUGCUUCACACUCCAGAUGCUUUCAUGCUUUGUGUACCUUAUUUUCGUUGCUAGCAGACGCAGGAAACCAUCAGAUAACUGAUCUGCCUGACAGUGACAUGGAGAAGUCACUUCAGUGCUCUCUCUCCCCUCUUUCUCUGUCUCCCUCUCUUACACACACACAUUUGCUCCUACAUCCUCAGUGCUGCCUUCUGUCAACCCUAAUGACUCUGCUUUAGUCAAUUUCCAGGACAGAAUGUUCCUUUCAUUUCUGUUUUGUGUGGUGCUGGAGAAAACUUGGAUCUCCUUUUUGUUAUCAUAGGAAUCACCAGCCUUUGUAAAUCCUGCUUAAAAAAAUAAAAAGUAGGGGCCAGCCUCCUGGCUGAGUGGUGAAGUUUGUGUGCUCCGCUUUGGCAGCCCAGAGUUCACUGGUUCAGAUCCUGGGUGCGGAUCUACACACCCCUCAUCAAGACAUGCUGUGGCGGCCUCCCGCCUAGAAGAACUAGAAUGACCUGCAACUAGGAUAUACAGCUAUGUACUGGGGCUUUGGGGAGAAAAAAAAAGAGGAAGAUUGGCAGUAGGUGUAAGCUCAGGGCCAAUCUUCCUCACCAAGAAAAGUAUUCUUAAAUAAAUAAAUACAUAAAUAAAUAAGUGUCUCCUUAACUCUUUGCUCCCUCAGCCAGUCCUCUUUGCUUCUGAGACCCGGCUUAUAGCUUUUAGCCAAAGGAGGCCAGCUGGGCUCCCCCACCAAAGAGGGAGGCUGGCUGGGGGAGAGAUGUUUCCUAUAGCCCAUGACAGCAGCAAGGCCCCCGAUGAGAGACAGAGAAAGAGACAGGGGUGUCAUUGUUGGAGGGAAGGGCAUAGCAGUGGUCCCAAGGAGAGUGGGGCUCAGGGAGGGGUGUGGCCAUGGCCUAUGCCUGGAGUUAAGAGUGGAAGACUGAUGAUGCUUGGCAUCCCAGGAGCACGAAGUCAGUGCGGAGUGACAGUGGACCAUAGAACCUCCAUCAUUAGAGAGAUGUGGGCGCGGUAGCUGGAGUAGAGGUGGGCAGCCUGUGAGAGACAAUUCGGUUUUGAGAUUUCCAGGGAGACUCAAGAAGGAGACAGUCUUGAGCUUCUGCCAUUUGGGACGGGGGUGAUGGAUGUGGGUCAGGGUGCAGGACUAACGUGUUUGAGACAUCCUUAGGACCAACCACCCUGGGUGAAACCUAGGGGACGUUCAAGUGACACAGAUGAUGGGGUUUCCAUGGUGUAGAGCAGUGGUGCUCAAACAUCAGCGUGCAUCAGUCAGCCCCAGCCCCGCCUCUAGGGUUUCUGAUGCAGUAGAUCGAGAAUCUGCACUUCUAACAAGUUCCCUGGAGAUGCUGAUGCUGCAGUUCUGGGGACCACGCUUGGAGAGCCACUGGCCUGGUGUAAAAGAGAUAAACAGUGAAGCCCAUUCGUGUCCGCCAAAUGGAACUAAGAUAUGAUUCUAAGAUGGAAAAUAAAGCUGAUUGUAUAUGAAGAACAGUAAUUUGGUCCCCAUCAGGUUGGUUACCGCAUCAGAGUUCCUAAGUUCUAGAAAAGGUUAAGUUAGUUUAGCCAAAAUGCUGUUGAGCAAUAACAUGAUAGUGGAGACUUUCUUUACAAUCUAAUUGCUCUGUAUUUUGGGAAUUUAUUCACUAUAAACAGGAAGAGUGUCUCAAAACUGAGUUUUGGCUCUUUGUAAUUUUGAAUCCUGUUGGCUGACUCAGUAACGAGAUUCCUUCAUUUGAACUUUUAUGUAUAAAAGAAGAUAAUCCAAGGGCCUUCUUUCACUAUCUGGGUUUGUCCUCCUCAAUAUCAAGUUGAUAGACUCUCAUUUCUUCUCUUUUUAUUUCUGAUUAUAACAGAUACUUGAUAGAAGAUUUGUACACAAAUGUAAAAAUAACUAAAAUAUAAACAAAAAAUGCUCAACAGACAUAUAAUAAACAGCGUAACUGUAUGCUUCAAAAAUAUUCUGAAUGAUCUGGAAAUAGACUCUAGGUCUUUAACAGAACUGCUGUCUUUGCCGUACGUUAGGGUUUACUCUAUGUAAGGAAGGAUACAUAAGAGCCCACCAGUAGCCUUUUAAAGCAAUUGUGCAAAUUUCUGAAGAGCUCUUAGUUAUUUCUCUGUUCACAUUAGGCAUGUCAGUCAUUCAUUGAGUCCUUAAAAAUCCUUAUAAGGAUUAAUUUGCGUGCAAGUGACUCAUUUGAAAAGGAAAGUGUUGAAAAUCUUGACCUUGCAAUCGGAGCCUAUUCACGAGGGCCAGAGCUAUUGACUUUCUUUCGGUUUUGCUCAGCGGAUCCAUUUAGUCCUGUCUCAGCCCCGGUGGUGGCAAUAGGGCAUGGGACUGAAUAACACUUUUGGAUCCUUUAGAGCUACGUUUAUUCACAAUUUGUUGGGAUUUUGGCCAAGGCUCUCCAACUUUCCCGUGUUUGGGUCUCACCAUCUGUGAACCCCAUUGAUGUUGUAUAAAUUAAUAAAGUGCUCUGUGAGCCCAGGAGGAGAGACUUUUGGGGUGCCAAGAGGAAUCAUAAUAAAUAAUAUUAAACAGCUCCAGGGAUUUUAACAAUAUUUACAAUUUUGGCUUCACACACUUGGGGAUUUGGAAGCGUUUUUAUAAAACCGCCUUGGAAACCAUGCAUCAGGCUUCUUUUGUGCGAUUGGCAACGUUUCAGAAACCACAAGGAUGCCUGCUUCUCAGAGUUGUUUUAAUGGGAAUUCUGUCCAUAUGGGUGAGAACCUGCCUCCCCGUAAGGCGUUUUUUGCUGAGAAUCCCUCCUUAAUCCCAGCGAUGUUGGUGGCUGGUGACCGUGAACGUAUCCUCUGCGGAAGAGGGACAAGCAGGGGAAAGAAUGAUGUGGCUGGUGGUUUCGGUGUUAUUGGGGUGGCUGGUGUUUUCAUAGAAUUAUCUGCAGAACUUGAAAAACUUGUCUGACGGAGCGGGCGUUGGGAGAGACUGUGCACUGUUUUUGGGGAUUUGUUGAUUUUUAAGGUGGAAGGUGAACAAGGGAGGGGCAGGGCAAUACAUACCACUGUGACGCUCGCACGUCUGCUCUGUUAGGGUUUUGUCCAGACCUUUAGCGUUCUCAAUCUUAGAGCUUCCCUAUCUGUGACUCACAAAUUCUACUGUCAACGUUCAGUCUAGGAGCUGAAAAAAGUGUUUCUUCGGGCCGAGGACACCAGCAUGGCCUGUUCCUUUUCUGUCCCCAUAUUUGGUAACAUGUAGGUUCUUCCAGAAGAAUAGCUACACCUUGUUUUAUGUUGGCUUAGUAGAGUUUGGGACCUAGGACUUCAAUAAAGGUUUAUUGCAUUAUUAAUAGUAAUAAUAAUAGACAGCAGUUUAUUGUGUUAAUAUUAAUCAUAGACAAGCUUAUUGCAUUAACAAUCAUAAUGAUAGACUACACUUUAAGGGUGCUCACUACAUGGCAGGCGCUGUUCUGAACCCUCGCUGUGUAUUAACUUAUUUAAUUCUCAUGAGAAUCUUGUGUGGCAGGAUCCUAAUCCUUUUAUUAUCUCCAUUUUACGGAUGGAAGCUGUGCCACUGAAAGUUUAACCAACUUGCUCAAGGUUAUUUGGGUAGCAAAUGGUGGAAUAUAUAUCCGGGUACACUAGACGGAUUUGAUCCCUCUGACAUCAAAUUCUUUGUUCUUGGUCAUCGCGCUAUAGACCCAGUACUCACAAGUUUGAUAGAUUAUAGAGAUGUCUGGAUUUUGUCUUGGAAACUGCUCAAGAAUACCAACAUCAGGGGAUAAAAUUUUCUUUAAAGAUGGUAACUCUUAAGCCAGGAAACUCAAUUUGUGUUACCUGACACUUUGAGAUGGGGUGCGGGGUGGAGAACGAGCUAAAUAGCUGCUCGGGCCGUGGUCUCCAAGGGGGCUCGCGUGUUUGUGUAUCUUCGAGAAGAGUUUAGGAUGGCAAUCUCUUUGAGUACUUCUUGUGUUUUGAAUUCUGUAGGAGACCAGUUCUUCGGACUUUUAUAGCUAAACUAGUUGAGGUUCAUUCGAGUUAAUCUUGGGAAGACAGAGGUGAGUUUUGUGGGUGAGAGAUUCUGCUGGUUUUUGCUCUUCUUAAUGUCAUCUUUAAAUGUCUCUUAUCUGUAUUGCGUGUGUGUUGGGGCGAGUGGGCUAGAAGGGGGUAUCAGUGGCAGGGCAAAGCACGGAAUUCAGUAGGGAACUGCCCCAUGGUGGGAAUAGGCUGAAGAAAUUAACUUUCUUGGACUUCUCGAAGAGAGUGUGAACUCUGCUGGGAGACGUCGCCUUGCUGCUGCCCCUCCCAGGACUGAGGUGAUGUGUUUGUGGAAUUAUAUCUACAAGUUUUGAGGUGCAAUAUCAAAGUAAUAGAAUUUAGGAGGAAAGGGGAACGCUAAUGGGAGCAAAAUCCUGCAAAGCUCGCUAUAAAUGUGAUAAGUGGCUGUUCUUUUUCACUUAAGUAAUUAUAGACUCACAAGAAAUUGAAAAAUAAUACAGAGAGGUCCUGUGUACCCAUCACUCAGUGGUGACAUCUUGCUUUAACUGUAGUGCAUUAUCAAAAGUAGGCAACUGAUGUUGGCACAGUGCAAUUAAGAAGACUGCAGACCAUACUGGGAUUCUGUCAUUUUUUUGCAUGCAUUGUUUUUUGUUUUUUUGAUAGUACUUACUAUAUGUAAUUUGACCAGUGUUUCCUGAUGGCCAGGAGAACCUCUGACUAAGGCUGUAAUAAAUAUUUUACAGAUACACGAUUUUCAGCUGAAUGAUGUUCGCCUCAGUGUUUUUAACAUGGCAAACGGUUGAGUGGCAUGUGAAGUCUGGCAGCUGAGUUACGAAACAGAAACCAAACCAUUUGGUUAUUUUCAUUUAUGGUCCUGAACUCUUCGGGGCUACUAUCGUCAUUUUUGUUGCCUUUUCAGAGGGAGGGUAUUUUCUGGAGAGAAAGGAUAAUGCAAGGUCCUUGUGUCAUAGUAAGAUCUCUCGGAGGGGAUGAUAAACAGAUGUUGUUAUCCCAGGAAAAGGGAGGGAUUUUGAUUAAUCAGAUAAAAGGUAUGGACUGAUGGGACUCAAAGAUUGUGGAUGCAAUUUCAUGAUAACUGUUAGAGUGGAUUUACUUUUAAAAUGACAGCCCUGGAUGCUUUGGGGCUAAAUGUCGGCUGCUGCGCACUGUGAUUAAUUGCUCCUGCCUGUGCCAUCCCAUCACCCUUUGCUGAGACUUCCAAUUAGCCUGUGUCACUCUCUGCCCUGGAUUUGAGCUGUUUGUGGGGGUGCCUGUCUUCUCAGCUAGACUAGGAAUUCUUUGAGGGCAGGGACUGUCUAAUUCAUUUUUUGGCUUUUCUCCUCCUCCCUUUCUCCCAGGAUCAAGCAAGAUUAGAGCAUAAUAAGGGCUCUCUAUUCCUUUGCUUCUGGCAAUUUCCAGACCAUUCCUCAUUCUAGGUUCACUUCUUUAUGUAUUUACCCGGGCUUCUGUUAUGUGUAUUUGAGACCAUUAAGUCUUAAUUUAUGAUUGCUAAUUGUGUAAUUUGGGGCAACCAUGGGUCAGGCUGGCCUUGUUCUAGGGUUCUAUCAAACAGCAUUAAAACAGCCCGAGAGUUUGGUAGAUUUUGUUGUUCAAAAAAGCAGUGGGAAGUUUUUGUUUGUUUUUUCCCUAUAGUAUAAAAAUUUUUAAAAAGUAUAUUCAUUUUUUAUACUUAACUGUUAACACCUGGGAUAAUUAUUUAAAAUUCUUCUGCCUCAUGGCUGCUUUUUGGGGUUGGGCUUUUAAGGAUGUUGGCAAUGGUCUAUGAUGAUGACCUCUCCAACCGUCAGUGGUGCUGGGGGGGCCUUGUCUUCUGUGAAACCUACAGGAAGAUAAGGUUUUCAAUCACCUUUUCUAACACGAAGGGGAAAUACUAUGUCUUCGGGAUCACUUGGUUAUAAUGAAAUGGAAAGACGUUCUCGAAUAAACUCAUAUAAAAAUGAUGCUACUGAAGGGAGAGGGGGAAAUGCCGUGGGCAAUCAAGGAUCUGCAGGCCUCGUGGGGAAGGUAGGAAAGUCAGGGAGGGACACCGUUCUCCCAUUUUUCAGAGGCCCGCGUACUUUGUAAUUUUUGGUUUCCUCUACGAAGCUCUGCUCUUCGUUUGCCCCUGUGGCAGACUAGCUUUCUUGCUUUACCUCUAGCUUCUCAGAUUCUCAUAUUUACUGCUUGCCAAAUGGCCUUGACUUGGUAUAAUGUUGCUCUAGUCCAAUACUACACAGUCUUUCCUUAGAUAACAUCUUGGCCCCCCAGUGUCUCAAUUCCAAAUUAAGGGAGAGUCUGUUUGGCCCAUACUGAGUCAUGUUUCCACCUCUGGUGCUGGAAUGAAGGGGUCAUAUGUACUUUGGGUGGUCCAGACUCGUCUAGGCAGGCUCUCAAGAAGGCGGAGUUGGUAGGAGGCAGUGAUUGGCAUGGCUGCCAUAUCCCAGUCAAGGAACAAUUCAGCAUUGUUUGUAUUUGGCUCUGGGUUGCAUUAGGGAAAAGGGCCCAUUCCUUUUUGGCCUUGUCUUACUCUCCAGCUUUUCCCCGUUGGAAUUUUAGGUCUAGACAGUAGAAGGAGGAAGAGGUGCAGGAGUGCUGUAGUCUGUUUGCAAGUCAUGAAGAGUUGGUUACUAACACUAAUUCAAAACAGGGUUGGUUGCAUACAUAACCAGUCAAUAUUUAAUUAAAAAAAUACUUUCAUUCAUGCCUUUGAAUUAAAUUAAUGCAUUUGAAUUUCUCUUUCUAAUGCACUUGUUUACUUUUUGAGUUCUUAACAUAGACUUAAAAAAAUACAUAUUCAUUGUUCAGAGAUGCCACUUUUACAGCCAAGAACUUCUGUUGUAUGUUGAAGUCUUUGGAUGAGAAGGGGACAGCGACAGAACGGCAAGAAGGAGAAGAGGGGUAGGUAAGACCUGAAGGACUCAUUGCCCCACUAACUAGCUAUGUUACCUUGGUAACUUAGCGUUUUUCUUUUUGGUUUUUUUUUUGUGUGUAAGGGAGAUUGGCCCUGAGCUAACAUCCAUUGACGAUCUUCCCCUUUUUUGCUGAGGAAGAUUGUCCCUGAGCUAACAUCUGUGCCCAUCUUCCUCUAUUUUGUAUAUGGGAUGCCACCACAGCAUGGCUUGAUGAGCCCUGCUAGGUCUGUACUCAGGAUCUAAACCUGCCAAUCCUGGGCUGCCAAAGUGGAGCGUGCGAACUUAACUGCUAUGCCACCGGGCUGGCCUGGUAACUUAGUUUUUUGAAACUUGGUUUCUUUGUCUUUAAAAUGGGGUAAGAAAAGUAUCCAUCUCAUGAUGUUGGUGAGAGGAAUCAAUGAGAUAAUGUAUUGAAAGGUACUUUUAGGCACUUGGGAUGUCCGAAUGAACAAAAUAUACAAAGAUCUUGCAAAAUGCAUGAAGAUCUUUCAGUAAUUGCUGCCACCCCUCUAAUUUAUAAAUAAAAAAGAGUGGCAUCCUGACCUUUCCUUCCAAUUCUAAAAAAAUUUAAGUUUUUUAGAUAGGACCAUGCGGCAGACAGGUGCGCUUAUUGUCUUGUGAAAAUUAGGGUAUGUGAGUGCAGGUGUGUGCAAGUCCACGAUCAGGAGCCAUUCAAAAUCCAUGAAAAUAUCAACCUUCUUUGAAAAAGUUCCGUUUUUCAAGGCAAACAUUAAGUGAGCUUUGUUUGAGUUAAGGGAAUAAAUAAAACUUGUGGGAGGCAUUUAUGAGCUGAUAUCUUGGCUUUGAUGACCCGGGGAAAGACAUUCCUCCUUGUACAGGGGGUAACUCAUUUUGCUUUUAUGAAAUCAAAGUUAAAAAUCUUAAUGGGUUUUAAUAACCCCAAAUGUCAUGUUGAAUUUAAGUUUCAGUUAAGUCGGACAGUUUCAGAUAACACCUCUUUGUAAUUGCUAUGGUUUACUCAUCUCUUGGGCUAUAACAUAUACCUCAAGACAUCAGAUCUUCCAUUUGUAAAAAUUUCACAUUUUGCAACCUUUGUGGUGAGAAACAGAAACUUUUAGGGACAGGCUCUUUUAGAUGGAUGGAAAUAUUUUUUCCUCAGUGGAUCCACACAAGUCAUUCCAGCAGCCAAAGGAAGCAAUUUCCUUUCUUUGCCUUGGGAUUUGAACAAUAAUAUUUUGUAUACAAUUAUUUAACUUAGUUGACCUAAACUUUAAUUUAUUCUUUGUUUAGCAUUUAUAGAUUGUUAUAUUAUGUGCCCUAAAUUCAAGUCAUUACAAUUUGAAAUGGUCCAAAGAAUUUAAGGGUAUGCUGGUUGAAAUUUUCAAGAGAGAAUUUAGCCAAGCUAGUACAAAAAAAUAAUUCCAUCGCUUUACCGACAAAUCGUAUGUAUGUCUGUGGGGGCAUCAAUGUCAUAUGUAAGAUGUUCAAGGAAGAUCUGUAAUAAUAGAAAGUUGCUACUCUUUAUCCUACAUAGUGUUAGUGAGUAAAACAACCAAUUUCAUCUUGUGGGGUUAACUUUGGCUUUGGUGUUCUUUAGUUCUUCAAAGAGUGUCUAAUUGUUUGAGAAGAGACAGAGCUUAGUAACAAGAGAUGCUGAUGUUUACAUUUCUCUUUCUUCUUCAUCUGUUACACAGAACAAGUGAUCAACUCCAUAUUUUCUCAUCACACUAAAUAAUUCCCCAAAAUGGCCAAUGCUCUUGUUAGUGUAACUGGUCAUCAUUUUUCUUCUUCACUGAGGUAAUCUUCAGACCCCGGGAACAAUGAAUGUUGCUAUGAGGCCCGUCAAGUCCUGCCUGUAGCAGGAAUUCAGCAAUGACAAUGCUUCCACCAUUUAUCCAUGUGCCCGACCACGUGCUUAGGCAUUUGAAUAUGAGGGAGAAUAGAAAAGAUGUGGGCUACUUCCAAGGGUUAUAUUAGUUUUCGUUUUUAAUGGAUUAAAAUUAUAUGGUGGUUUAUUUAAAAAACCUGCACAUUUCCAUCAGUAACGUAAACCACUGCCCUUGUGUGGGAAACUGGCCAGGACUCCCUCAGGCCCAAUCUCAUCCACAGUUAUUCAUUGAGAGGGACGGCAUAAAAAGUAAGGUUGUUUAAAAAUUUUCCAUGCCAUUCUGAAAACAGGUGCUUCCUUUGUAAGUGCAAGUGAGUGAAUUUAUGUGGUCAUUUCAACCCAAUUUAAACCCUCGUUCUAAAGAACAAAGACAUUUUCUUUGCCCCGAAGAUUGACAUUUGCUUACAGGCACUAGGCACUUCCUGUGACCCUGGGUCCCAUUCUGCUGGUGCUGUCGGAGAGGUCAAAGGGAAGGCAGCACAUUGGUGCACAUGGGAGGUGCUCAGAAUCUGUGCGUAUCAGCACAGAGGCAGGCUGAAGCCUGCUUAGAUAUUUAUCAGGGGCUUUAUGGUGUGUCCAUUCCAAAAGUGAGCAGUGGGAACCUCUGAGGUCCCUUAGUUCUCAGUAAACGGUCAGUGUUGAAACCUGCUCCCCUGCUCCUUCUGAUCUCUCUCUCCUGUCCUUUUCCUUCUGCCUUCUCACUUUCCCUGCCAGCAAGCAGCGCCGGCAACUUCACAUCUGACUUCUGGAAGGGAAUGAAAGACUUUCUUUCUGUAUAGAGAGGUUUCUUUUACACAGAGCUGUCUUUGAUGGGGGAGACGUCCCCACAACAGAUUUAGAACGUGAAGUAUUGGCACCGAGCCAGAGAGGACAGCCAUCAAUUGUAGUUUGAACGAGGUUUCAUCACGUCUUUGUCCUGUCAUCUCGUUUUUGGCGGGGAAUAGUGGGUGUUCUGUUAAACCGAGAGCGGCUUUGGUCAGUGCGAUUGUAAUACUUUAAAUUCGAGACACCACGUUGACAUCCACUACUCUAAGGUAUUUGGGUGCUUAACAAAAUGUUCUAAAGAGUAGGAAUAAUGAUUCCAAACUGAUGCUAAGGAAUGCUUUGAAUUUAUACAGAACUAGAGUUUUACAAGUGGCAAGCUAUCUUGCCAACAUUUUCUUUGUCUAAACUUUGAGAAAGACAAUAAGUGAUAGGAUUUCUGGAAAAUGAGAAUGAUCUUUCUUGGCAGUUUUUAGAUUUCUGGUUGAAAAAAAGGUGAUCUGAAGAAAAUCUAACAGAACGUAAUGUGUUCAUUUUGGGUGGCAGGUAUAAGGAUGUUUGUGUAUUGAUCUCUACUAUUUUUGAAGGUUUUUCAAAAGAAGGGAAAAAAGAUAAGGAGAAGAGAAAGGACAGAAGCAAGCAAAUGAUGGAAGCAUGGGCCCAUAAUAGUGCUUUCUGAUGCAAAAAGGCCUGUGUAGGAAUUUGGUACUGGGUAUGUGGCUUUGGCCAAGUCAACUUCUCUGCCUCGGGUUUUUUUUUUUUUUUUUUUUUUUUUCUUGGUAAGGAAGAUUGGUGCUGAGCUAACAUCUGUUGCCAAUCUUCCUCUUUUUGCUUGAGGAAGCUUGUCCCUGAGCUAACGUCCGUGCCAAUCUUCCUCUAUUUUGUAUAUGGGAUGCUGCCACAGCAUGGCCUGAAGAGCGGUGUGUAGGUCUGUGCCUGGGAUCCGAACCUGUGAACCCCGGGCCACCGAAGCAGAGUGUGCAAACUUAACCCCUAUGCCACUGGGCCAGCCCCUGCCUCGGUUUUUAUAAAAUGUCAUUUAUAAGUGGACAUGAUAGCCCUUUGUUAAGAGAUAAUAUCUCCUUAAGAGCCAAACACAGUGCCCAGUACAUAAAAGAUACCUCAACAAUCUUCUUUCCCUUUCGUUACCUCUUUAGUGUUGCAUUACGAAUCUUUAGCUGAAUUGAACGCAGACUCUCGUCUGCCUGGUCUUAAUAUCCGUCUUACUGAAUUGUUGUUUGCUUAUAUGCAGUAAUGUCACAGUGACCCCAGGAUCCCCUUGCUUUUGUUUCUUCUUACCACGAAAAGGUAUUAGGACAGAAAAGGUUAUUAUUAUUAUUUUUUAAUUUAACCAUAUUUAUGGAGGACCAACUCAGAGCCAGGCUGUAUUCUGGGAGCUAAAAGGUACAAUGGGAAUAAGACGGACCAAGUCACUGCUCCCAUGGAGUUUCAGGGGAGGCAGAUUAUCAAGAACAAGUGUCAGGGGACAAUAAUGGCAUGAAGAAGAGUAAAGUGGCGUCGAGGGAUGCGGUGUAUCUCUAUUAGAUAGAAUGGACCGCGAAUGCUUCUCUAAGGAGCCGCCAUCUUGAUGUCUGCACAGAGGCAGGGAGCGAGCCUGGUGGAAAUCUGGGGAGAGAGCAUUCCAGGCAGAGAGAACGAGGCAUGUGUUGAAGAACCACAAGAGGCUCAUGUGGGAAAGGCAGGCAAGAGCCAGGAAUGAGGCCGCAGGCCAAAUCACCUGCAGGAGGCCCUGGUUUGGAUUUUAUUUGGGUGCACUAGGAAGCCACAGUAAGUUGAACCACAAAACUGGCCGCUCUACUACUCUUAAGAGACUUGGUGAGGGAUGUUUUGCAGGGAAGAUGGAAAAUCACAGUGUGUCUGUUCCGUUGAUUACCAUUCCCAUCAUAGAAUAAUUAACUGCUAGCUGUAAUUAUAGGACUUCCUCUAAUUUAGUUUAGCACUCCUGGGACCUCUAUUAGCCUAUAUCCCAAUCAAUUUCACAGUCAUUAAGAGGGAACGUGCCACAGUCCUGUUGAAUUUUAAAUCUCGUGGGAGAACCAUCCACCUAUUUGUUUUCGCUCCUCUAGACUGCCUUAUUUUCUUUCAGUUCAUAAGGUUUACCCCCCUCUGUUCAGGCCCUCUCCUCUGGCAUGCUGAUUCAGGCUUGUAGCAUGGAGUUAUGCUAAUUAGGAUAUUCUUUCACAGAUAGUUGUUAAUGAAUUCCAUGCAUCUCACGUCCUUUUUGUAACCUCUCAAAUUCGUAUAACAAAAAGUUUCAGCGGACAGCCAAGGGACCGCCAAGGGAUCACUGUCCCCUCCGCAAGAUAGGUGUUUCAAUGUUUAUUCUCACGUCUGGCACCUCUUACUAGCCUCAUAUCCUCUAUGUAAGUUCCUUUAUGCAGAGAAACGUGACCACAUCUGUUUUCUCAGUUGGGUUGAACAAUAAGUUCCCCUGUCACAGAAAUCACAGAGAAGGUCUUCCUUUUUGCCUCUUUGACAUAUCGGGUGACUUGCUGUGUUUAGAUAACCCCGGCCUCCCAGGGUUCCUCUUGUCCAAUUUUCUCCGCUGCUCUUGUGGUGAAAGCCAUCCUUGCUGUCACAUCACAUCACUGCAGGGGUGUGCGCUCCCGGUCCCCAGUGGAUGGCUUCUCUGUGGAGGCAAACGGUGAUCUUAGUGCUGGUUGUGAGUUCACUAGAAGUAGCCCCUUGAGAAGCAGGGGCUUCUCCAGACAGCUCAGUCUUAUUCGUUAUGAAAUAGUGUCUUUAGCUUGCGGGGAGGAACUAGCAUCCCUCCAUACCAUAGAAGAAACCAAGAUUUACGGUCACAGGAGUGAGGGAAUGGCUGGCCAGUGCUGGCAGCCAAGUCAUCAUAAACAUGAACCCUGUAUCUACUUGUGUGUUCUGGCAAGCCCGUGUGUGUAUGUGUGUGUGUAAAAGGAUAGAUUUUAUUUUUUAGAAUAGUUUUAGAUUCAAAGCAAAACUGAGCAGAAAGCACAGAGAGUUCCCACAUACUCCUUGGCCCCCUACCCCUCCAAACCCCCAUCCUCUCCCACCAUCAGCUUGCCCCCUACCCCCCCAGAGUGGUACAAUCCAUGAACCCACGUUGACACAUCAUUAUCGCCCAGAGUCUACUUUACAUUAGGGUUCACUCUUUGUGUUGUACAUUCUGUGAGUUUUGACAAAUGUAUAAUGACAUGUAUUCAGCAGUAUAGUCUCAUACAGAAUAGUUUCAUGGCUCUGAAAAUCCUCUGUGCUCCACGUAAUUAUCCUUCCCUCUGCCCCAACCCCUUGGCAGCCACUGAUCUUUUUACUGUCUCUGUAGCUUUGCCUUUUCCAGAAUGUCAUAUAGUUGGAAUCAUACAGUACGUAGCCUUUUUAGGUUGGCUUCUUUCACUUAGUAAUAUGCAUUUAAAGUUCUUGUAUGCCUUUUCAUGAUUUGAUACCUCGUUUCUUUUUAGUGCUGAAUAAUAUCC